UCCCAGAUGUCUUCGGUAUCUGCUUCAGCCGGCUGUUCGCUCUCUCUGAGGCCAAAAGCAAUAUUCAUCAUUUCAUUUCAUGUUCAGGGGACGGGACCUCCUCUCAUGUUUCAGAAAGGGGCUGGGAAAUACAGGAAGCCAAAGUUUUUCCUAUUUAAGGCCGGGGGUGAGGAAUGUCUGCGGCUGAGUUCUGAGCAGGGCCCGGUGGCUGAGGGGGCAGGAAACCCAUUGAUGGUGCACAUUUGAUUUUUUUUUAAUUCUUUUUCCCCCACCUUCAUUUUUUCUUCCUUUCCUCUUUUGCACAUAGAGUCUCAUGCCUAAUCUCCUUUAGGCGCGAUGAGCUGUGUGCAGGGAGCCGUUUUGCUUUGCCUCGCCGUGUUACAACCAUCCUUCAUUUUGGCACAACAAGACGUGAUCCUAGGAGCCUGCACCCACCUUGGCCAAGUAUAACGCAGACAGAGAUGUGUGGAAACCUGAACCGUGCCAAAUAUGUGUGUGUGACUCGGGAGCUGUCCUUUGCGAUGACAUCAUCUGUGACGAGCAGGAUUUAAGAUUGCCCCAACCCC